CAGCUGAAUUAUGAGAGGUUUAGGACAAUACCGUCCUGAAUUGAGAUCAAGAUGUUUUAGUUGCAACGGUAAAUACCUUCUCGUAGUAAAUGGUAUAGGAAUCUGAUCUGGCUUGAUCUUGAUGGUCCUUUUGAUACUGGUAAACUGUUCUGUAAGUAUUUGGCAGAUUUAAAUUGAACACUCAGUUUGGAAAACCAGGGGAUAUUAACAUUUUGUUGAUCUUAGAGGCUCCGUUUAUCUGACAUAAUCUGCGCCUAGAAUAUGUAUGUAUGAGUAUGAUUUGCAUUAUGUAAUUACAUCUUUAAGUUCAUCUUAAUCCUCAGGAUGAUGGGUCACCAGUAUUUUUGCUCUCUCUUUCUGGGAGUAAUCCCCAAGAUGGACAUUUAGCCCCUGGUUGUAAUGGUGUGAAACGCCUCUAGACUGCUGUCUUAUCUAUGAACUCUUCUUUGGUAUGAAGCGAAGCAAAACAGAGGAACUACACAAUACUGCUUCCAUUCCAAAGUCUCUGCUUCCAAAUUAAUGCAUUGAGCAUUUUGACUAAGAGCAUGCCACAAACUCAGCCUCCAUAGUAGACGCAACAAUGGCAAACUGUUUCCUACUCUUCCAUGAGAUCGCUCCUCCAGCCAAAACGAAGAAAUAGCCAAAUGCGGAUUUUCUCGUAUCAACACGU